CAGGCUUAACACAUGCAAGUCGAGGGGCAGCAUGGUCUUAGCUUGCUAAGGCCGAUGGCGACCGGCGCACGGGUGAGUAACGCGUAUCCAACCUGCCUUACACUCUUGGACAGCCUUCUGAAAGGGAGAUUAAUACAAGAUGUUAUCAUGAGUAAGCAUUUUCGCAUGAUUAAAGGUUUACCGGUGUAAGAUGGGGAUGCGUUCCAUUAGAUAGUAGGCGGGGUAACGGCCCACCUAGUCUUCGAUGGAUAGGGGUUCUGAGAGGAAGGUCCCCCACAUUGGAACUGAGACACGGUCCAAACUCCUACGGGAGGCAGCAGUGAGGAAUAUUGGUCAAUGGACGAGAGUCUGAACCAGCCAAGUAGCGUGAAGGAUGAAGGUUCUAUGGAUUGUAAACUUCUUUUAUACGGGAAUAAACGGAUCCACGUGUGGAUUUUUGCAUGUACCGUAUGAAUAAGGAUCGGCUAACUCCAUGCCAGCAGCCGCGGUAAUACGGAGGAUCCGAGCGUUAUCCGGAUUUAUUGGGUUUAAAGGGAGCGUAGAUGGGUUGUUAAGUCAGUUGUGAAAGUUUGCGGCUCAACCGUAAAAUUGCAAUUGAUACUGGCAGUCUUGAGUACAGUUGAGGUAGGCGGAAUUCGUGGUGUAGCGGUGAAAUGCUUAGAUAUCACGAAGAACUCCGAUUGCGAAGGCAGCUUACUAACCUGUAACUGACAUUGAUGCUCGAAAGUGUGGGUAUCAAACAGGAUUAGAUACCCUGGUAGUCCACACGGUAAACGAUGAAUACUCGCUGUAGGCGAUAUACAGUCUGCGGCCAAGCGAAAGCAUUAAGUAUUCCACCUGGGGAGUACGCCGGCAACGGUGAAACUCAAAGGAAUUGACGGGAGCCCGCACAAGCGGAGGAACAUGUGGUUUAAUUCGAUGAUACGCGAGGAACCUUACCCGGGCUUAAAUUGCAACCGAAUAUGGCGGAAACGCUAUAGCUAGCAAUAGCGGUUGUGAAGGUGCUGCAUGGUUGUCGUCAGCUCGUGCCGUGAGGUGUCGGCUUAAGUGCCAUAACGAGCGCAACCCUUGCCGAUAGUUACUAACAGGUCAUGCUGAGGACUCUGUCGGGACUGCCAUCGUAAGAUGUGAGGAAGGUGGGGAUGACGUCAAAUCAGCACGGCCCUUACGUCCGGGGCUACACACGUGUUACAAUGGGGGGUACAGAGGGCUGCUACCACGCAAGUGGAUGCCAAUCCCAAAAACCUCUCUCAGUUCGGAUUGAAGUCUGCAACCCGACUUCAUGAAGCUGGAUUCGCUAGUAAUCGCGCAUCAGCCACGGCGCGGUGAAUACGUUCCCGGGCCUUGUACACACCGCCUGUCAAGCCAUGGGAGCCGGGGGUACCUGAAGUGCGUAACCGCAAGGAGCGCCCUAGGGUAAAACUGGUGACUGGG
rnacentral:rRNA from 1 species